rnacentral:misc_RNA from 1 species
UUGCAACAACACAAGUUUCACAUAAUAAGAAUAUCAUGGUACAAACAGCGACAAAAGUAUCCCCACAUCGAUUUUUCUCCUUCAUUGCUACUACAUCAAUCACCAUCUCAUCCUUCAACUAAAAUUCACACCUUUUUCUGUCAAGCAUGAUCAACGCCAACUUUUGACAGUGAACUUUUCACAUAAAUACAAUUUUCCCUAAUCCUGUAACUCAUCAAAGGGAAAUGGUCAUGAAUGUUUUCUUUCCCAUUUUCCCUCCCGUCUUCCAUCCCUUUCUCUCCGCUCCAUUACUUGCCUUGACUUGCUACCUCUAGACCCAUGCCUUUGAGCAGACCCAAAUCCACCAGAUUGUCCAUCAAAUGCUGAAAUCAGAUCUGGAUCCCCCACACUACCAGUAUCGCCCGANNNNNNNUCAAAAUUUUCUUCAUAACUGCUGCCACAUUCAUCAGUCCGAUCACGGGAUUGAAGAAUGGUUGGUGGCUGGCCUGAAAAUGAUCGGGNNNNNAGACAACACAACAGCUGGCAUACCCAUAGAUGAACUAGUAGUAGAAAUUUCAGCCUGCAAGCUGCCACUACUAGUUCUUGUACUCCCUUCGUUACUGGAUCUUCCAUUUUCCCUCUCUCGAUACCUUUCCCGAGGCCUGCUAUGAGUGGCUGAAGAAAAGUCACGCCGUGAUGAUCGUAGUCCAGAUUCAGCUUGCUCCAGUUCACGCUGAAGUUCUCUCUGUGUUUGCCUCUCCUUCUCCAUAUCAAGAUUGUGACGAAGCUCCCUAGUUUUUGCACGCUCAAGCUCCAGCAACCGCUGUCUCUCAAUCUCUUUUUCUGCUUCAGCUGUCCUUUCCCUAUCUAGUUCUCGCAGGAGGCCUCUUCUAGAUAUUUCUGGCGUGCACGUCUCAUGAGUAGCUUCUUUUGCCUGCGGGCUACAACAUCAUCUUGAAGUUUGGACUUCUCUAAGGAACGAAUGCAAUCCUUGAUCUCCUGAAGACGGCUCUCAUGCUUCCCAGAAGCAGUGACCCAAGGAAUUUGCCUCUCUUCCUUGGUGUCUUUUGAUGACUCUUUUACUGGAUUUUCUUUUUGAAGAAUGUCCAAUUCUAUUUCAGCCUCCUCAAGUUCCAU